rnacentral:lncRNA from 1 species
AUAAAGUUCAACUGUGCCAAGCAAUGAUAAAAAAAACUUGUGUGACAAGCUGCUUGACAAGUUUUUCAGCCUUAAAAGUAGAAAGAUAGAGUUCUAUAUGGGCUAAAGAUGUUGUUCUUGUAUAACCUGUGAUUCAACGAAUAAACACAAAUGUUUGAUUAACAUCUUUUAUUAAAAUAUGCCCUUUUCAUAUUAUCAUAUCGCGCGUUAAAUGCCCUUUUUCAGGAUUGGCACCCUGCCCUUUUGAAAACCUAGCUGGAACACUGUGAGAACAACCCAUG